UAGCUUGUGACUUUAUUGUGAUACACACAAUAAACUGCUCUUUACAUCUUCAUUUAAACGUUACAUGCGGAACACUUAACACUUGUAAACAGUGCCUCCUGGUGGCCUCUAUUAUAAAUACACAUAGACUGUACUGUAGGUAUGCAUGUAGUCUGCCAGCACUUUAGGUGAACAGUAAGGAUUGUACAUGACGGUAGAUGAGUGGUAACACUGCAGAGUCAAGCAUUCACAAGAGGCUUAAUAUAAUGUGUAUAGUAUCGAACAGUGUUUUUCAACCUUUUUUUGAGCCACGGCACGUUUUUUUUACAUUGGAAAAAAUCUUGCGGCACACCACUUAACCACCUCACGUGCAUCACUAAUAAAAUAAGGAACGAAGCAAUAAGGUGCGUGUUGCCACACGGACGAAUAUUACAUUGCACACCACGGACAAUCGACAUAUAUGACAUAAUAUUUAUAGAAAUUUAUUAAUAAAUGUUAAUUGAAAAAAAUAUUUGAUAAUUCCUCGCGGCACAGUGGUUGAAAAUCACUCGUCUAAAAUACACAUAAAAAACUAGCAAAAACUAGUUUUCUUUGCCGGGUAAGUGCAUCCCAAAUCAUAACCAUCUCAUGGUGUUUUUAUGUCCUUAAGGCAGCAACUGUAUAGCAUACAGUAUACGCAUUUAGUUUCCACAAAAUAUUGCAAAAGCCACAAAUGGAGGCUGCUAUUACAUUAUUUUAGCUUUUAUUUUACAUUCUGCUGUCGUGUAUAUUUGUAUAUAACUAUUAGCGUUUUUUUUCUCAUGUCAUUCGAUGCUAAAUUUGGGCUUUUUCUUAGCUAUAAUCAUCAAAAUGAUGAAAUAUAUGGCUGUAUGUGUAGUGAAGCUGUAUAAUAUGUAAAUGUUUCACGUUUUCAGUUGAAGUCGUGAAAUAAAUACACAAUUUAAUGACACAACAUACUUACGUAUAGGUUAGUAUGGUUGAUUGCUAACAGUCUACUCAUUUCAAAAGUUGAAAAUGGCGUCUUUAAAAGCCUACAUGAGGAGCAUAAAGGCACGGCAUCAUGCUAUUGGGAGCUCAAUUAUUGUUCUUUAUGGAUGGAUGGUGUGGAUCCACAGCCUCGCGUUUUCAACCACGAUCAGGACUCAUCAGCAGCGCCUGCAUGGACGUGAACUCGAUGUGGGCUCUCUUUUUUCGGAUCCAUUCUGGCUCAUCGGGGAUGACGGCUGCCAUAAUCAGUUUGACGACGAUGAGAACGUGCUGCCAAACAGUUGAAGAGACCAUGAGUACAAGAUACAAGACGCCUGACGUCUCCAACGAACGAGAUUCCUUGGUACCUCAGCCAGCACGGCCAACAGCAGGAUGUUGGUGCUGCUCAUCUCGCCCUCCUGAUGCAUCCUUUGGAAUUGUGGCGAGAGCGUCAGCAGCCAGCAGUUCGACACCACAGAAAUAAAACUCAGGAUCUCAAAAGCGAUCUGGACAAAGACGAGACGGCGACAAUCGGGACUGACACCAGUGCCAUUCGGAGAUCCCUCUGCCAUUCAGGAAACAGUGGCUCCACACGACCGGUGACGGGGUUCACCCCAAGAUGACCGUGGAAACCAGGCCGGGGCUCUGCAAAGCGCUCAGCAAGAUGAAGGGUCCCCCAGCGGUAGGAGAGGGUGUGGCUGCGACGCUUCCACAGCUCCAUGACCAAGGUGGACCACAGCAUGCUGAACACAGCUUGGAUCAUGUGACCACUGACAGGGAGUCCUGUGUCUUCGUGGAGGUUCUCCACCUUUGAGCCAGACACUGACUCCACCACCUCCUUUUGAACCUCACCUGGGAAGAACGCAUGAUAACAAUCAGUAGGUAAAUGCUAACAGUGUUAAAACACUUUGAGUGCCUUGAAGGUGGAAAAGCGGCAUAAAGGUACCAUAACUGAAGACAUAAUGCAGUUUUUACAUAGCAACAACUGCAAUCAAGAGUUUGCGCUAACUUGAGUCGCUUCCAGUGCUGUGGAGGAAUUCUGGCCGACUCAUAUUUACUAAAUUGUUGUCAUUCAGCCACAUGGUCAGACUAGCCCACUACAUAGUCUUCAUUUUGCUUUCCUUCAGCCAUUCAGAGGUGGACUUGCUGGUGUGUUUUGGAUCAUUGUCCUGCUGCAGAACCCAAGUUGGUUUCAGCUUGAGGUCAUAGACAUUUGGACACCCAGCUGUCUUGGGGCAAGAGGCGUGGUACGCCCUGGACUGGUCGCCAGCCAAUCACAGGGCACAUAUAGACAAACAACCAUUCACACUCACAUUCAUACCUGUGGAUAAUUUGGAGUCGCUAAUUAACCUAGCAUGUUUUUGGAAUGUGGGAGGAAACCCGGAGAAAACCCACACAUGCACAGGGAGAAAAUGCAAACUCUACACAGAGAUGGCUGAGGGUGGAAUUGAACACCGGUCUCCUAGCAGUGAGGCCUGCGCGCUAACCACUCAAUCACCAUGCAGCCGAGUGCUAAUAUUCAUUCAUUCAUUCAUUUUCUACCGCUUUUCCUCAUAAGGAUCGCAGGGUGUGCUGGAGCCUAUCCCAGCUGUCUUUCGACA